AAUGUUUUAAGGCCGUACCUGGCGAUAACUUCCCCUUUGGCUUAAAGAAAUAUUUUUUUUUUCUCUCUCGUCUCAAGGUCGAAUGAAAAUCCACGAGUUUCCGUUUCCAAAGAAAAUCGCACCGUUUUAUCCUCCCUCUUAAGUGACAUCACAAGUCCAAGUUACGAAAUUGUCACCCACCCCUUACAGACUGGUAUGGUCAAACAAGCAAAAAAAUAAAAUAAAAUAAAAAACAAAAGUAAAACUCGUCCAACAUCAGACCGAGUGCAAAAAUCGACAUGGUCAAAUGAUGGGAUUACAUGUUGCAAGCUAGUGCCUCAUACUGCGACAAUCACGCGACCUGGUUAUUUUCCUUCCUUUUUCUUUUUACAUCGUAAAUAUUGCGAGGCUACGGUGACAAGGAGGUCUCUCAGUGGGAGAUUAUCUCGUUUUAUCGUUGGCGGAUUCACGCUGGUCGGAAUUGCAACACUAUGGGCAUUUCCAGAGUUUCGACGAAUAAAAUAGAUCACCUCUCUUUUAUGCGCACAACGUUUGGCCUGAAUACCGACAUUCUACCCGGAAAAUGCAAAAACAAAAUGCAUUCAUUUCAGGGAUUUCCAGCAGACCCAAAUAGCUAUUCUUUUUUUCACCUUAAAGAUAAUCGUGCUCUUUGGUGAAGUUGAUAUGCAGGUUUCAGCAAAAUUUAAUACGAAACUGAAUGACCGGAAAAUCAUGGAAGAUGUUCUGGACUAGAUUCACUACCCUAUCAGAGAUUGAGUCACCGCCAGGUCUCACCAAGAUAGAAGAAUCAAAUCAAUAAAUGGCAAGGUAAUGUUCCUACCUGGCCUGUGGUUGACGUCAAUAAUUCGUGAGUGAGAGAGUGAUAGUCUCCUGUGGUUUUUUGUGAAGGUUGACGUAUGGUGCAUCCCUGAAUGAAGGAUAAGCAAGUUGGAAUACAUUAAUUUCUUAAAUGAUG